GAGAGCUGCAGGAGACAGCUCUAGGAAGACAGCUUUUGGGGUGUAGCAGGAAACAGGAAGCAAGGUCAGGAAGGAGGCGGAGCUGGAAGUAGGCUUUAAGCCCUGUCAGCUCUGCACUGGGGUAUUUAAAGACAAGGUAGCUGAUAAGGAGGAGCUACUUCUGAGUAUGGGAACCAGGAGUUCCCCAGGAGAGGGAACAGGCUGAAUGCAGCAAGCCAGGAGGAGAACUCAGGUGACAAGCUAACCUCCUCCCCUGGCUGUUCCUGAGGCUGACCUUUUUCGGGUGCUCCAGUUAUUCUGGAGUUCAAGGGCUAGGAGCCCCCCUGGGAGUCUGACAACUUGAUUGGGAAUCUUUUAAAAUAAAGGAGGGAACUUGAGUUGUGUUGAUUGAUUUGUUUGGAAAAAUGUGGUGGGGGAAAGAGAAUAUAAGGAGGUUGCCUUUAGCAGAGUUAAGUGCAGUGCAAGUUGUAGAGCUGGAGAGAGUUCAAGAGAAGGAGUUGCUGUCACAGUGUGAGAGGGAAUCAGAACUGCUGCUGGGAGAGGCAAGAGAUCACUGGGAGAGUUGUGACCCUCUGGAGGACCGAAUCACUCAUAAAGCAGCUGAAGAAACAGUAUAGGACUGAACCCCCAGAACUGAGAAGGAAGAGCAGGCCCGGAGGCUGAGCAAGGGACAAGCCAGGCUUGCUGCAGAAGCUGACUAAUGGUGAUUGCAAGAGGACUCUUGAACUCUUAAAGCAGCUGCAGGCAAGAGAAGCAGGGAACAACAGAGGGACGCAGUAAGCAUACAAAAUGGAGGCAGAGACAACAUGGCUGAUUGAGAAAUUUAAGAUCACUAUGCUGUCAGAAGAACAGUUAAAAUAAAGGAGGAAAGACAGAUGAGUUGUUGUUCCUACUCACUCCUAACUGUGGGAAAUGAUCAAUACUACAGACAAGUAGAACAUCUAGCAUGAGAAACCCUGUGAAAGUAAGCAAGCAAGAUGCCAGGGCAGAUGACCUUGCUCCUAAUGGAAUGAACUGGUUCACCAUUCCUCUAGAGUUUUAUAACACAGGGGAAUGAAACUAAUAAUCCUUGAUGAAGUGCUUGGGGACAGUUGUGGCUUCCUGCAGGGGUGAAAGGGCUAAAUUCCUUUGCACUCCUUCCUUUCACCAUUAAGAUAAAUUUGUAAACCUGUCCAAAGCUAGCAUGAAGAAUGUUCAGCCCUUCCCUGUUCACCCAUGCAUAGCUGUAAUUAAUUGAUUCCAAUAUCCAGGCACUUGGGUUAGAGGGACUAGUUGGAUGCCACAGGGUGGAACUGAUAAUGUUGUUAGCAAUUGUAAACAGGACAGCACGUGGCCUGUACUAGUUGUAAUCACUAUUACUAUGCUCUGUCUGAAGCAGGGUGGUUUGUUUUGUUGUUGGGGUUUUUGUUGUUUGUUUGUUCUGCAGGGCAAUAACUAGGAAAAUUUGCCUAGAGAUUGCCAAUUUGGGCAGUAAAAAAUGUAACAAAUAAAUAAAUGAAAUUCACUAUUGAUUUUAUAAAGGCUUCCAGGAGAUCACUUUGACUUUAUUGAAGAAAAGAGCCAACACCAUUUGAUUCAACUUUGUUUGGGCCUGUGAGAGUACUUCCUAAGUAUAUUUGGAUCAUUUAACCACCCCUGCUCCCUUUCCCAGUCAUUUGCUUGAUACUGCUGCCUCAAUUUAUUGCCUUGUCAUUGCUAGCAUUUCCAAGGAAGUAACCACUUCCAUCUUCUGCCACCACUAUUACUCUUGGCCAUGCUAAUGCUAGCCUAGGCCUGCUCAACUUAGGCCCCCCCCCAGCUGUUUUUGGACUACAGCUCCCAUAAUCCCCAGCCACAGUGGCCAAUACCCAGGGAUUAUGGGAGUUGUAGGCCAACAUCUACAGGAGGGCUGAAGUUGAGCAACCCUGUGCAAGCCACUACCAUAACAUUUUAUAUAUAGUGUGCACAUUUGAAUGGCCUCCAGUUACUGUCUGUGUGUUUUGGGCUCAGGUGAGAGUACAUAAACUCCCCAGUAUACUCUGUGUUCUGUAUAUUCCCCAAUAUGCAAACUGUACCAAAUACCCAAUAUGUAAAAUAUUCUGUG